GGCACUCAAUGAACAAAAUAAGAAAGCUAAAUCCAGUGUAAAAGGUGGCUCAUUGCAUACCGGAGGUGCAAAAAAUGUCGGCGUCAUAGUUCGAGAAAUGGAGAAGGACUUGGGUCGCGAACCGACUCAACUUGAGAUCUUCAGAUGAACACAUCUUCUGAAAAAGAUGAAUGAGUCGGACCCGGAUGCGUGGGUUGAGCCCAGGGCUGAAAAUGUUAAUAAUGAAUAUAUAUGUUACUUGUCUGAGUUUGGUUCAACCCAGCAUACACAGAAGGAAGCAAAUAAAAUUUGAACGGAAAAAGUGGCGGGAGAAAAAAAGGAGGAGAAAACUAUGGGUUUGACUCUCAAAAUGAUUUACGACGUCUUCGUGCUGGAUGGGCUGGUAUUAAUUCCUCACGCCUGGCUGAGGCGAUUGUCGGUGUUCAGCUUGCUGUUAUGUCGCAGUAGAUUACAGUUCUUUCACGUGCUUUCGCACAGUUUGUUGCUCGAAAUGAAGUCAUGAGCAAGACUGUCGAGAAACUCAAGAAACAAGUGGUUAACAUGAGUUGUCAUCUUCACCGUUCUCCAUCUUCUGAUUCAAGUAGCAAAGAAGAAACAUAAAGGGAUGAGUUUGUCGACACUACUCCUUAGUGUUAGUUGGAUUUACUUCUAAACUUUUUUAGACAUUAAUUGUUGAACUUAACUUUUAAAUUUUGAAUUAAGAAGCUUAAAGACUUAGUUUUGGAUGUUUUUGAA